rnacentral:rRNA from 1 species
AGCUCCAAUAGCGUAUAUUAAAGUUGUUGCAGUUAAAAAGCUCGUAGUUGGAUCUCGGGUACUAGCAUGUGGUACACUUUACAGUUGUUACUGCUUGUCUAGUCCUAAUCAAUCGGUUAGCUGAUUAUUCACUUCAUUGUGUGUUUUCAGUAGCCGGUACGUUUACUUUGAGAAAAUUAGAGUGCUUAAAGCAGGCUUUACGCCUGAAUAAUGUUGCAUGGAAUAAUAGAAUAGGACCUCGGUUCUAUUUUGUUGGUUUUGUAGAGCAUUGAGGUAAUGAUUAAUAGGGACAGACGGGGGCAUUCGUAUUGCGGUGUUAGAGGUGAAAUUCUUGGAUCGCCGCAAGACGAACAACUGCGAAAGCAUUUGCCAAGAAUGUUUUCAUUAAUCAAGAACGAAA